CUCCCAGCACCCCUCACCCAACACACAUAUACCCAGCUCCUCUUUCUCUCUCCUGGACUUUCUCUUGUCCCUCCAAGCUCCUCCUCUACUUUCCAUCCAGCACUUCCAGUGGGGACCCAGGGAGAGAAGGCUGACUAACUGGUUUGGCCAGCUAUCAGCAGGCAGAGAGGAAAUCUGGCUAAGGAUGCUGCUUGUAGAAGUAGGGAGGAAGGAAAGGGGUGUGGCUAAAGACCCCACAUGGCUCAUCUGCCUGUCUCCUCUGGGAUGAUCACAGUUGCCUGGUUACCUGUCACCCGAGCAGGGCUCACAGCCUGGAAGCUGACGGGUAUAGACUGGUUGAAGCCAGAACUCAGGAAGGUCACUGAACUAGAAAAGCAGCCAAAGGAAAGAGGAGCUUGAGCUUUCAGAAAGACUAAGGAACCAGCUCCCUUCCUUCUUUGCCCGGAUGGACACAAAAGUCUCGCACCUGGUCUUCCUGUUUGGACCCUCUCCCAGCCAUUCUCC
rnacentral:lncRNA from 1 species